AACAGAAAGAACGGAAAUAAUAACGGAAAUAACGGAAAUAACGGAAAUAACCUCCGCAGGGACAGAAACAUACAGCAGGAAAUUAGGUGACAGGUCGAGAAUAACAACGGAAAGAACGGAAAGAACAGAAAGUACCUCCAGAGUGACAGAAACAUACGGCAAAAAAUUAGGUGAAAGGUCAAGAAGAACAACCGAAAUAACAGAAAAAACCAAAAUAACGGAAAUAAUAACGGAAAUAACAGAAAUAAUAACGGAAAUAGCGGAAAAAUAAACGGGAAUACUAACAGAAAAAUAUAACGGAAAUAAUAACGGAAAUAAUAACGGAAAUAACGGAUAUAACAGAAAUAACGGAAAUAACUCCACAGAGACAGAAAAUUACGACAGACAAUUAAGUGACAGGUCAAGAACAAAAACAGAAAUAAUGGAAAUAACGGAAAUAACGAAAAUAACAGAAAUAACCUCCGAAAGACAGAAACAUACGGCAGAAAAUUAACUGACAGAUCAAGAACA
rnacentral:lncRNA from 1 species